CUGUAGAUCCCAAUUGAGUACGAACGUGGGACUGGCACCCAGACCAAGAGAUGGGUGGGACAAAUUAGCCGCCUGGAUGACCUGAUCACACUUCACCCAGUUCACCAUAGAUCCAUCGCUCUCCAGGACAGGAGAGCGUUUGUCAGUCUCCUCAAAUGCCUCCUACAAACUGACGCAAGGUGGAGGAUCACGCCACAGGGUGGUCUCUCUCACCCCUUUCUUACAAUGGUCCACCUGAAGGAUAACAUGGAAAACCCAUAUUUAAUAGAUUGUCUGGUCAAAAUGGCGGUCUUGGACUUGGAAGACAGGUCGGAUGUAUUGGCUGAGGAAGAUCCAGCAAAUCACUCCAGUGACGGGUCUGAACACACAGAUGACCCAUGUGAUGAGGCUGCAGCUGCAGACACUGAUGUUGAUGCCUCAACUGUAGAGGAAUCAGUUGACAGCCCAGAAGUGCAUGAUUCAGUAAAGGAAGCACAGGUCUAUGAUGAGACUCUGAAGAGGAUGAGGACGU